rnacentral:rRNA from 1 species
UGUAAGCGUAUACCAAAGUUGUUGCAGUUAAAACGCUCGUAGUCGGAAUUUGGCAGUUCCGGAUGUGUGCACGUCGUGUGCGCACUUCGCGGGGAUUGCUUUUGUGGUCUUGCGUAGGAUGAGGCACUUUUAUUAGUGAACGUCCUCACGCAACCACUUUUUACUGUGAGAAAAUCAGAGUGCUCAAAGCAGGCAUUUGCCGUGAAUGUAUUAGCAUGGAAUAAUAGAAUAGGACUUGGUUCUAUUUUGUUGAUUUGUUGGGACUGAGUAAUGAUUAAGAGGGACAGUUGGGGGCAUUUGUAUUUCGGUGCUAGAGGUGAAAUUCUUAGAUUACCGAAAGACAAACUGCUGCGAAAGCGUCUGCCAAGGAUGUUUUCAUUGA